rnacentral:tRNA from 1 species
AAGGGUAUAGCUCAGUGGUAGAGCUUGUGCUUAGCAUGCACAAGGUCCUGGGUUCAAUCCCCAGUACCUCCA